CAUCUUACUGGACAGUGCUGGA
rnacentral:miRNA from 19 species